GGAUUGGCUAGCUUCACUUAGCAUAAUCUGCUCUAAUGCCAUCCAUUUCCCUGCAAAUUCCAUGAUUUUGUCAUUUUUUAGUGCUGCGUAAUACUCCAUUGUGUAUAAAUGCCACAUUUUUUUUUUUAUCCAUUCAUCUAUUGAAGGGCAUCUGGGUUGGUUCCACAGUCUAGCUUUUGGGAAUUGUGCUGCUAUGAACAUCGAUGUGGCAGUAUCUCUAUA
rnacentral:lncRNA from 1 species